GCCAGCCCCAGCACCGCCCAGCAGAUGCAAACCGGGCAGGACACUCACAGCCGUAAUUUCCUCCGGUUCUACGCAAGGCCGCAUGCUGAUAGCCAGGUAUCCUGCAAUGGAUAGUCAAGUAUGAAAACAUGGAGUGAUUUCAAUGAAGUGUUACCAGCUUGCAUUGUGGCAUAUCAAAGCUUUAAGCAUCAGGCUAUUUCAUGAACCCUGCUAAGGAGUGACGGAUACUACAGAGGGAACAUUUUUCCAGCCAACUUGAAUAUAUCUGAAGGAGCAAAGCAGCAUACAUUCCUUUUAUUUUCUUUCUACCAGCAAAGGAAUAGGAAGAAGCUUGUCCAGUAAGGCUUUUACAUGGUGUUUUUUACAUGCAGAACUACACCAGCUAAAUCAAAUCCCUGAAGGAGUCACUUGAAGGGAAUGGAAAUUUGGCUGUCAGGUAUUUAGUUUUGGGUGGCAGGACAUGGUUAGUUUCUCCUCCUUCCAUCUUGUCUUUCAGAAAGUUUCAUCAGCCAGGCCUGAUGUAAUUUAAAGCUGGCUAGGAGAAGCUGGGUAAGCCAGACACAAAGGGGACACCCCACUUCUCCUUGGACAAAGAUUUAGCAUAAGCACAGGUUAGAAGAAAUAAGGUAAUAAAAUGUUUUAUUAAUGGUUUAGGAUUGGGAAAUCCAUAGCACCUCAGGCUAACACACCUGCAGGUGAGACCUCGUGCAUUACUUUCAGCAUUAGGGAGAAGGCAGAAGAUGGUACCAGCCACUGACACUUAUUUUUGUUUCUAUUCUGUCUCAUCAAGUUUUACCAAAACUCUUCUCUGUGUUUUCACAUGGUCAUUCAUGUGAUAAAUGAAUGGACCCAGACAGGAGGUGGGGAAAUAACCCCCAUCCAAAUUAAAAAAGAUGAUAAAAACCUCA